rnacentral:lncRNA from 1 species
GUGCUCCUUAGCCGCUUAAUCCAGCUGCGCGGCGUCCUGGCGUCACAGUUCAGAACCUGGUGACGCAAAGCCGUGGGGCGAGGGGGCGGCUAGCCAGGGAGCGAGGCGACCUAGUUGUCCUUUCAGUGUCCGUCCUGCCGCUGGAGUCCAGAGUCAGCAGUUGAUGUGGAUCAAAGGCUGGUGGCUUUUGAGCCGGGGCCCGUGGGGACCCGCAUGAACCCUGGGCAGCGUGCUGGCGGGUUGUGCCUUUGCCCUGCACGUGCUGUGCCCCCAGGUUGGUGACGCGGCUGUGACAUUUAUGCAUCAGCAGGGGGCUCGGACCUAGAGAGGGUGGGGACAUCAGCUUCUCCCCACGAUGGGCGGUAAACACCAUUUAGACCCAGGAAAGUCUAUCCUACUAAUCGAUUACAGGGGAGAAAAUCAGGUUUGAGAGAGAGUCGUUGUGCAGUAUGUUGCACUUCCAUGUAUAAUUCUAUGAAGUCUCAUUACUUAUGACUAGACUGAAAGAAAUUGAAUUUUGAUUACUUAACUACAUUUCCUGCUGUGCUUAUGAGGAAUGCGCUUUUUUAAAGGCCCUCUGUCUCCUUCGUUGAGUGUGAUUUUUCUCUGAGAGCCUGUCUUCCCCCACGAGGCAAGUGUGCCUAACAAAGGGAGAUGUAUCUGGAACUGAGCAGCGCCAUGAGGGGCUUCUAGAAGUCUCUGGGAGUCUCAGGGUUUGUCCUGGAAGGUGAUUCUGGAAGGAAAUCAUAUCCAUCCUGGGCUCUUUGCUUUCAUCAUUGUUAUUGUCAUCGCCAUCGUCAUCACAAUUGUCAUCAUCAUCACCAUCAGCUUUAUCAUCAGCACUCUCGUCAUCACAGCCAUCACUGAAUAUGGUGCUCACUAUGUCCCAUCACUGCUCUAAGUGAUUUCAGUUGCUCCUUUGUCAUCAUCACAAAUCUCUCAGCCUGGCUCUCGACGUGAGCGUGUGGUGUGUGGGCAACUGAGGGACACUGGCUUUGAAUGAACAAGAUUGAAGCAGAGAGAUCCUGUCUUCCCCACACAAGGCAAGUGUGCUGACACCUCCUGACAAAGGGAACUGGCUGUGCAUCUAUUCUCCCUGCUGGAGACACCUUUAUCUUUUCUUACAGAGCAUCUAGCCUCUGAACUCACACAGUAUUCCUGCUCUAGCAAGAUCAGGACAUGAAAUCAGGACAGCGAGUUUAAUAGACUCAGGCUGGGCUUCCCCGUUGCCAGCCUCCUGGGGGGCACGUCCCCUCUCUGGGCAGCCUGGGCAGGAGUGGCCUCUGCCGUGGUCCCUUCUGAGAGCCCAGCCUAAGGAUGUGGACCCUGGACCUCCCCUGGCCAAUGUGCAGACGAGAAGAGCCAGCGUGAACUGUGCUCACUUUGUGCCGGCCAUGUUUGUGGGAGCUUUAGUGAUGGAAUCUGCUCACUCAAUCUUCAUCCUAGAUGAGGAAACUGAGGCACAGAGUGGUUCAUUCACUUGUCCGAGGACACACCUUGGUAUGUAAAAUGUUUUCUCCACCAAACAUGGGAUAACAUUGUACGUGGUGUUUUCAUAAGCAGCUUCU